rnacentral:piRNA from 1 species
UCUGAAGUUGACCUGAGACACUGGAGC